rnacentral:siRNA from 1 species
UCACUAUCAUUGCUCCAUUUCAAG